UACGUAGGGACCAAGCGUUGUUCGGAUUUACUGGGCGUAAAGGGCGCGUAGGCGGCAAUUCAAGUCAUCUGUGAAAUCUCCGGGCUUAACUCGGAACGGUCAGAUGAUACUGCUUUGCUAGAGUGCGGAAGGGGCAAUCGGAAUUCUCGGUGUAGCGGUGAAAUGCGUAGAUAUCGAGAGGAACACCUGAGGUGAAGACGGGUUGCUGGGCCGACACUGACGCUGAAGCGCGAAAGCCAGGGGAGCAAACGGGG
rnacentral:rRNA from 1 species